CAUCAACCUUCUGGGGCUCUAAGAAGUAAGUUAUGGUCAUAAACAUGGUCAAGGAUAAUUUGAUCCCUUGCAAGACUUAAAGUAGGAUGUGGCAACAGGCAGGACAAUGGUAAGAGGAAGGGCCUCAGGGGUGUGGCAGACAGGAGCUGGACCAAUAUGAAUUGAUUCUUUGAAGAUGAUUCCUUCUCAGUGUGGCAGGAGAACAAAAUGGAGGCUUAAGACAAAAUGAAUUAAUAUUACUGAUAGCAAGCGGAGGCUUAUCAGGAUUACAUGAUUAAUUUUGCUAGAACCUGCUGUAAGGAACCUGGGGCUCCCAGUCUAGAAUCACUAGGCCUUUGAAAACGGCUGUGGUACUGCUUUAAGGUUUCACCUGCUCCCAUCUUCACAAUGUGUCCCCUUUUCGUUUGGUUUUAGUGGAGUUCCUGGCUGGUAAUCAGGAAGUAACUAAUAAGUGGCCUUGGAUGAAACGGAGUCACUAGAGCACUGCUUGUGAAAGGGUGACAACUUUAACUGAUAAAGGAAGCUUUGUCCCAUGUUCCAAAGGUCGUGACGGAGGGCUACUGUUACCCCUUUCUCCAAGUGAUGCUGGACCUCCAGACGAUUAAUUAUCCCAGCCAGGGGAUAAUUUGGCUGUGUACAUGUGGACAGCUC
rnacentral:lncRNA from 1 species